GAUGAAGAACGUAGCGAAAUGCGAUAAGUAAUGUGAAUUGCAGAAUUCAGUGAAUCAUCGAAUCUUUGAACGCACAAUGCGCCCGCCAGUAUUCUGGCGGGCAUGCCUGUCUGAGCGUCAUUUCAACCCUCAUGCCCCUAGGGCGUGGUGUUGGGGAUCGGCCAAAGCCCGCGAGGGACGGCCGGCCCCUAAAUCUAGUGGCGGACCCGUCGUGGCCUCCUCUGCGAAGUAGUGAUAUUCCGCAUCGGAGAGCGACGAGCCCCUGCCGUUAAACCCCCAACUUUCCAAGGUUGACCUCAGAUCAGGUAGGAAUACCCGCUGAACUUAAGCAUAUCAAUAAGCGGAGGA
rnacentral:misc_RNA from 1 species